rnacentral:rRNA from 1 species
GGCUCUUCGUGAUAACUAAAUGGGGAGUUGGACCUGCCCGGUGAAUUAUUUAAUUUUAACGGCCGCGGUACUUUGACCGUGCAAAGGUAGCAUAAUCAUUUGCCCUAUAAUUGAGGGCUAGUAUGAAUGGUUUGACAAGAGUAUAACUGUCUCUUUAUGAUUCUAUAAAAUUUUAUAUUUAGGUGAAGAAGCCUAGUUAUAAUUAAAAGACAAGAAGACCCUAUCGAGCUUAAAAGAAGUUAAUAGGUUAUUUAAUAAUAUUACUAAAAAUCUUUCUAUUAAAAAUUUUAGUUGGGAUGACUAAGGAACAAAAAAAGCUUCCUUGAAAAAUAAGUGUCUUACAAGUAAUGAUCCAAAAAUUUUGAUUAGGGAAAUUAGUUACCGUAGGGAUAACAGCAUUAUCUUUUUUAAGAGUUCUUAUCGAAAAAAAGGUUUGUGACCUCGAUGUUGGACCAGAAAUAGCCUAAAGAUGCAAAAGUCUUUUAAGAGGUUGGUCUGUUCGACCAUUAAAAUUCUACG